UACGUAGGGGGCUAGCGUUGUCCGGAAUCAUUGGGCGUAAAGAGCGUGUAGGCGGCCAGACAGGUCCGUUGUGAAAACUCGAGGCUCAACCUCGAGACGCCGAUGGAAACCGUCUGGCUAGAGUCCGGAAGAGGAGAGUGGAAUUCCUGGUGUAGCGGUGAAAUGCGCAGAUAUCAGGAAGAACACCCGUGGCUAAGGCGGCUCUCUAGUACGGUACUGACGCUGAGACGCGAAAGCGUGGGAGCGAACAGG
rnacentral:rRNA from 1 species